GAAGUGUGGACGCCAGUCUGCAUGGAGCCGACCUUGAAAUACCACCCUUUAAUGUUUGAUGUUCUAACGUUGACCCGUAAUCCGGGUUGCGGACAGUGUCUGGUGGGUAGUUUGACUGGGGCGGUCUCCUCCUAAAGAGUAACGGAGGAGCACGAAGGUUGGCUAAUCCUGGUCGGACAUCAGGAGGUUAGUGCAAUGGCAUAAGCCAGCUUGACUGCGAGCGUGACGGCGCGAGCAGGUGCGAAAGCAGGUCAUAGUGAUCCGGUGGUUCUGAAUGGAAGGGCCAUCGCUCAACGGAUAAAAGGUACUCCGGGGAUAACAGGCUGAUACCGCCCAAGAGUUCAUAUCGACGGCGGUGUUUGGCACCUCGAUGUCGGCUCAUCACAUCCUGGGGCUGAAGUAGGUCCCAAGGGUAUGGCUGUUCGCCAUUUAAAGUGGUACGCGAGCUGGGUUUAGAACGUCGUGAGACAGUUCGGUCCCUAUCUGCCGUGGGCGCUGGAGAACUGAGGGGGGCUGCUCCUAGUACGAGAGGACCGGAGUGGACGCAUCACUGGUGUUCGGGUUGUCAUGCCAAUGGCACUGCCCGGUAGCUAAAUGCGGAAGAGAUAAGUGCUGAAAGCAUCUAAGCACGAAACUUGCCCCGAGAUGAGUUCUCCCUGACUCCUUGAGAGUCCU
rnacentral:rRNA from 1 species